UUUCCGUAGGUGAACCUGCGGAAGGAUCAUUAUUGUAUAACCGGGGUGCGAUGGCUGUCGCUGACCCGAAAGGUCGUGCACGCCCGAGUGCCCUCACACACAUCCAUCUCACCCCUAUGUGCACCACCGCGUGGGUCCCCCUUUGGCUUGUUCGGAGGGGGGCUUACGUUUUCACACAAACUUUGUAUGCAGUGUAGAAUGUAUUUUUUGUUUUUGCGAUCACGCAAUCAAUACAACUUUCAACAACGGAUCUCUUGGCUCUC
rnacentral:misc_RNA from 1 species